rnacentral:rRNA from 1 species
AACGGCCGUACCAUGCUGAAUAUACCGGUUCUCGUUAGAUCACCGAAGUUAAGCAUCAUUGGGCGCGGUCAGAACUUGGGUGGGUGACCACCUGGGAACACUGCUUGCCGU